GCGUGGGUGAAGAAGGCUCGCGGGUUGUAAAGCCCUUUCAGUAGUGAGGAAAAGCAUACGGUUAAUACCCGUGUGUCUUGACGUUAACUACAGAAGAAGCACCGGCUAACUCUGUGCCAGCAGCCGCGGUAAUACAGAGGGUGCGAGCGUUAAUCGGAAUUACUGGGCGUAAAGCGCGCGUAGGCGGUUAGAUCAGUCGGAUGUGAAAGCCCCGGGCUUAACCUGGGAAUUGCAUUCGAUACUGUCUAGCUAGAGUAUGGUAGAGGGAAGUGGAAUUCCAGGUGUAGCGGUGAAAUGCGU
rnacentral:rRNA from 1 species